ACAAUCUAACUUAAAUGUGACAGCCACUUGUAUGCAAAGACUUAGAUCAUGUUGACUGUGUCAAGUCUUCCAUCAAAUGAAGGCGUUGCUUUUCAGUCAUCAAAGCAGUGUUAUCCGCAUUUAACCAUCUCUAACUAGCAACCACAUAGUAUUGAACUAGUUUGGCUAAGAAGAAGAAGAAGAAGAAGAAGAAGAAGAAGAAGAAGAAGAAGAAAGAAUGGAGAGAAAUUGGUUGUUGUCUUAUUUGGCAAUUAUCAUAGUUAUGGCUGCUGCGUCUACUUCCAUUUCUGGUAUUCAUCUCAACUUGUAUCAGAUACAUUAGAUGGUGUGAUGUUUUAGUUUUGUCUUAAUGUUCUGAUGCAGAUAGUGGCUCCGCUUCUCUCGCUUCUACAACCAGCCAUCUGCUUCAGCUUGAUCUAUUAAGUUUGAAUUCCUGAAUUAUAAUACCCAGCAAAUCGUUGCUGUUGUGCAACGUUCAAGAAAUUCGCAUGCCCUUAUGCAAAACAGAUCAAUGAUUUUAGAACCGAUUGUGCUUCCACCAUGUUCAGCUACAUCAACCUUUACGGCAAAUAUCCGCCUGGUCUGUUCGCUGCGGAGUGCCGAGAAGGGAAGCAAGGUCUCAAAUGCCCUAAAUCUGCCCCCACCCGCUAAAAAGCUCCAC